ACGGAAGGCAGCAGUUGGGAAUAUUGGACAAUGGAGGAAACUCUGAUCCAGUGACGCCGCGUGAAGGAAGAAGGUCUUCGGAUUGUAAACUUAUUUUGUCUGGGAAGAAAUCAAUGACUGUACCAGAAGAAAAAGCACCGGCUAACUACGUGCCAGCAGCCGCGGUAAUACGUAGGGUGCAAGCGUUAUCCGGAUUUACUGGGUGUAAAGGGCGAGUAGACGGCGUUGCAAGUCAGAUGUGAAAUCUUGGGGCUCAACUUCAAAAUUGCAUCUGAAACUGUAGUGCUAGAGUGCAGGAGAGGUAAACGGAAUUCCUAGUGUAGCGGUGAAAUGCGUAGAUAUUAGGAAGAACAUCAGUGGCGAAGGCGGUUUACUGGACUGUAACUGACGUUGAGGCGCGAAAGCGUGGGGAGCAAACAGGAUUAGAUACCCUGGUA
rnacentral:rRNA from 2 species